GAUGAACGCUGGCGGCGUGCCUAAUACAUGCAAGUCGAGCGAACAGACGAGGAUCUUGCUCCUCUGACGUUAGCGGCGGACGGGUGAGUAACACGUGGAUAACCUACCUAUAAUACUGGGAUAACUUCGGGAAACCGGAGCUAAUACCUGAUAAUAUAUUUAACCGCAUGGUUCCAUAGUGAAAGACGGUUUUGCUGUCACUUAUAGAUGGAUCCGCGCCGCAUUAGCUAGUUGGUAAGGUAACGGCUUACCAAGGCGACGAUGCGUAGCCGACCUGAGAGGGUGAUCGGCCACACUGGAACUGAGACACGGUCCAGACUCCAACGGGAGGCAGCAGUAGGGAAUCUUCCGCAAGGGGCGAAAGCCUGACGGAGCAACGCCGAGUGAGUGAUGAAGGUCUUCGGAUCGUAAAACUCUGUUAUUAGGGAAGAAGAAAUGUGUAAGUAACGAUGCACGUCUUGACGGUACCUAAUCAGAAAGCCACGGCUAACUACGUG
rnacentral:rRNA from 1 species